rnacentral:rRNA from 1 species
AGAGUUUGAUCCUGGCUCAGGACGAACGCUUGCGGCGUGCCUAAGACAUGCAAGUCGAACGGGGACUUCGGUCCUAGUGGCGAACGGUCGCGUAACACGUAAGCAACCUGCCCUGAAGUGGGGGACAACAUCCCGAAAGGGGUGCUAAUACCGCAUGUGGUCACGAGUCGGCAUCGGCUUGUGUCUAAAGAUUUAUCGCUUCAGGAUGGGCUUGCGGCCUAUCAGGUAGUUGGUGGGGUAAUGGCCUACCAAGCCGACGACGGGUAGCUGGUCUGAGAGGACGAUCAGCCGGAUUGGGACUGAGAUACGGCCCAGACUCCUACGGGGGGCAGCAGUUAGGAAUCUUGCGCAAUGGGGGCAACCCUGACGCAGCGACGUCGCGUGAAGGAUGAAGGCCUUCGGGUCGUAAACUUCUUUUGAGUGGGAAGAAAUUUGACGGUACCACUCGAAUAAGCCCCGGCUAACUACGUGCCAGCAGCCGCGGUAAUACAUAGGGUGCAAGCGUUGUCCGGAAUUAUUGGGCGUAAAGAGCUCGUAGGUCGUUUGUCGCGUCGAUUGUGAAAAUCUGAGGCUCAACCUCAGACCUGCAGUCGAUACGGGCAAACUAGAGUGUGGUAGGGGAGACUGGAAUUCCUGGUGUAGCGGUGGAAUGCGCAGAUAUCAGGAGGAACACCAAUGGCGAAGGCAGGUCUCUGGGCCAUAACUGACACUGAGGAGCGAAAGUGCGGGGAGCGAACAGGAUUAGAUACCCUGGUAGUCCGCACCGUAAACGGUGGGCACUAGUUGUGGGGAACCUUCCACGGUUUCCGCGACGCAGCAAACGCAUUAAGUGCCCCGCCUGGGGAGUACGAUCGCAAGAUUAAAACUCAAAGGAAUUGACGGGGCCCCGCACAAGCAGCGGAGCAUGCGGCUUAAUUCGACGCAACGCGAAGAACCUUACCAAGGCUUGACAUAUAGCGAG